rnacentral:rRNA from 1 species
CCUACGGGUGGCAGCAGUGAGGAAUAUUGGUCAAUGGACGAGAGUCUGAACCAGCCAAGUAGCGUGAAGGAUGACUGCCCUAUGGGUUGUAAACUUCUUUUAUAUGGGAAUAAAAUGUUCCACGUGUGGGAUUUUGUAUAUACCAUAUGAAUAAGGAUCGGCUAACUCCGUUCCAGCAGCCGCGGUAAUACGGAGGAUCCGAGCGUUAUCCGGAUUUAUUGGGUUUAAAGGGAGCGUAGGUGGAUUGUUAAGUCAGUUGUGAAAGUUUGCGGCUCAACCGUAAAAUUGCAGUUGAAACUGGCAGUCUUGAGUACAGUAGAGGUGGGCGGAAUUCGUGGUGUAGCGGUGAAAUGCUUAGAUAUCACGAAGAACUCCGAUUGCGAAGGCAGUUCACUGGACUGCAACUGACACUGAGGCACGAAAGUGUGGGUAUCAAACAGGAUUAGAUACCCGAGUAGUC